AACGUAGCUAAUACCGCAUAACGUCGCAAGACCAAAGAGGGGGACCUUCGGGCCUCUUGCCAUCGGAUGUGCCCAGAUGGGAUUAGCUAGUAGGUGGGGUAAAGGCUCACCUAGGCGACGAUCCCUAGCUGGUCUGAGAGGAUGACCAGCCACACUGGAACUGAGACACGGUCCAGACUCCUACGGGAGGCAGCAUG
rnacentral:rRNA from 1 species